AUUAAAGAGCCGCAGUAUUCUGACUGUGCGAAGGUAGCAUAAUAGAUUGUCUUUUAAAUGGAGGCUUGAAUGAAUGGUUGGACAAAGUAUCAUCUGUUUCUUUAAUAAUUAUUGAAUUUGACUUUUAAGUGAAAAGGCUUAAAUAUAUUAAAAAGACGAUAAGACCCUAUAAAUUUUUAUAAAAAAUAUAAUUUUAAUUUGAAUUUAUAAGUAUAUAAAAUAUAAAUUAUAAUUUUAUUGUGCUGGGGUGGUGUAGAUAUAUAAUUUAACUGUUUAUAAAUUAAAAUCAAUAAUAAUUGAUUAAUAUAAUUGAUCCUUUAAGAGAUUAAAAGAUUAAAAUACUUUAGGGAUAACAGCGUUAUUUUUUCUAAGAGUUCUUAUUGAAGAAAAAGUUUGCGACCUCGAUGUUGAAUUAAAAUUUCUUUUUGGUGUAGCAGCUAUAUAAGAGAGUCUGUUCGACUUUUAAUAUUUUACGUGAUCUGAG
rnacentral:rRNA from 1 species